ACCUUACCAGGUCUUGACAUCCUCUGACAAUCCUAGAGAUAGGACGUCCCCUUCGGGGGCAGAGUGACAGGUGGUGCAUGGUUGUCGUCAGCUCGUGUCGUGAGAUGUUGGGUUAAGUCCCGCAACGAGCGCAACCCUUGAUCUUAGUUGCCAGCAUUCAGUUGGGCACUCUAAGGUGACUGCCGGUGACAAACCGGAGGAAGGUGGGGAUGACGUCAAAUCAUCAUGCCCCUUAUGACCUGGGCUACACACGUGCUACAAUGGACAGAACAAAGGGCAGCGAAACCGCGAGGUUAAGCCAAUCCCACAAAUCUGUUCUCAGUUCGGAUCGCAGUCUGCAACUCGACUGCGUGAAGCUGGAAUCGCUAGUAAUCGCGGAUCAGCAUGCCGCGGUGAAUACGUUCCCGGGCCUUGUACACACCGCCCGUAU
rnacentral:rRNA from 1 species